ACGCUCGACACCUACGGGAAGCAGCAGUGGGGAAUAUUGCACAAUGGGGGAAACCCUGAUGCAGCGACGCCGCGUGAAGGAAGAAGUAUCUCGGUAUGUAAACUUCUAUCAGCAGGGAAGAAAAUGACGGUACCUGACUAAGAAGCCCCGGCUAACUACGUGUCAGCAGCCGCGGUAAUCUGAGCGGGCUGGCAAGGC
rnacentral:rRNA from 1 species